rnacentral:rRNA from 1 species
AGCAGCCGCGGUAAUUCCAGCUCCAAUAGCGUAUAUUAAAGUUGUUGCAGUUAAAAAGCUCGUAGUUGAAUUUCGGGAUCAAUAUGUCGGUCGUGCCUUCGGUACGUACUGGUAUCAUUGGUCUCUCCUUUCUGACGAACCAUGAUGUCAUUAAUUUGGUGUUAUGGGGAGUUAGGACUGUUACUUUGAAAAAAUUAGAGUGUUUAAAGCAGGCUUUAGCUUGAAUACAUUAGCAUGGAAUAAUGAAAUAGGACGUUCGAACCUAUUUUGUUGGUUUCUAGGAUCAACGUAAUGAUUAAUAGGGAUAGUUGGGGGCAUUAGUAUCCAAUUGUCAGAGGUGAAAUUCUUGGAUUUAUUGAAGACUAACUACUGCGAAAGCAUUUGCCAAGGAUGUUUUCAUUAAUCAAGAACGAAAGUUAGGGGAUCGAAGACGAUCAGAUACCGUCGUAGUCUUAACCAUAAACUAUGCCGACUAGGGAUCGGAUGAUGUUAAUUUUUUAAUGACUCA